AUGAACGCUGGCGGCGUGCCUCAUACAUGCAAGUCGAGCGAACAGACGAGGAGCUUGCUCCUCUGACGUUAGCGGCGGACGGGUGAGUAACACGUGGAUAACCUACCUAUAAGACUGGGAUAGCUUCGGGAAACCGGAGCUAAUACCGGAUAAUAUAUUGAACCGCCUGGUUCAAUAGUGAAAGACGGUUUUGCUGUCACUUAUAGAUGGAUCCGCGCCGCAUUAGCUAGUUGGUAAGGUAACGGCUUACCAAGGCAACGAUGCGUAGCCGACCUGAGAGGGUGAUCGGCCACACUGGAACUGAGACACGGUCCAGACUCCUACGGGAGGCAGCAGUAGGGAAUCUUCCGCAAUGGGCGAAAGCCUGACGGAGCAACGCCGCGUGAGUGAUGAAGGUCUUCGGAUCGUAAAACUCUGUUAUUAGGGAAGAACAAAUGUGUAAGUAACUAUGCACGUCUUGACGGUACCUAAUCAGAAAGCCACGGCUAACUACGUG
rnacentral:rRNA from 1 species